UACAGAGGUCUCAAGCGUUGUUCGGAUCCAUUGGGCGUAAAGGGUGCGUAGGUGGCGCCGUAAGUCGGGUGUGAAAUUUCGGAGCUUAACUCCGAAACUGCAUUCGAUACUGCGGUGCUUGAGGACUGGAGAGGAGACUGGAAUUCAUGGUGUAGCAGUGAAAUGCGUAGAGAUCAUGAGGAAGACCAGUGGCGAAGGCGGGUCUCUGGACAGUUCCUGACACUGAGGCACGAAGGCCAGGGGAGCAAACGGG
rnacentral:rRNA from 1 species